CUUAAUCACCAUUCCGUGGUGGUAAUAUACCAGAAUGUUGGCUGAGUCUUGGAAGUCAAGCAGUAUCGGGGUUGGUUAGUACUUGGAUGGGUGACUGCUUGGGAAUACCAAGUGUGAUAAGCA
rnacentral:rRNA from 1 species